rnacentral:rRNA from 1 species
AUUGAACGCUGGCGGCAGGCCUAACACAUGCAAGUCGAGCGAGCGGCGGACGGGUGCGUAAUGUAUGGGGAUCUGCCCGAUAGAGGGGGAUAACUAAUGGAAACGGUGGGUAAUACCGCAUACUAUCGGCUGAACCCCUAUGGGAUUAGCUAGUUGGUGGGGGAAAGGCUCACCUAGGAUCCGAUCGCUAGCUGGUCUGAGAGGAUGAUCAGCCCAACUGGGACUGAGACACGGCCCAGACUCCUACGGGAGGAAGCAGUGGGGAAUAUUGCACAAUGGGCGCAAGCAUGAUGCAGCCAUGCCGCGUGUAUGAAGAAGGCCUUAGGGUUGUAAAGUACUUUCAGCGGGGAGGCGUGACCCGCAGAAGAAGCACCGGCUAACUCCGUGCCAGCAGCCGCGGUAAUAC